rnacentral:misc_RNA from 1 species
GCGAGUUUCCUGGUUCCGCUGGCAGUUGGCGAUGGGAAAACCGAAACAAAACUCACAUAAACGCGUUCACUAGAGAAAACAAAGAGAAAGAGAAGUGAAGAAAUGUUUUGUUUGGUUUCAGAUCUGAGUCAUUAGUCAAUAAGUACUUAAGAUCCAGACCGACGAGCCGCUCUCCCUUUCAAUUUUCAAUAUGGUUCUCGAGAAAAUGGAGAUGUUCUUAGAUAAUCUUCAGCCCAUGGAUCUGAUGCGCUCUGAGAAGAUGUCAUUUGUUCAGCUUAUUAUUCCCGCCGAGUCCGCUCACCGUGCCAUCUCCUAUCUCGGCGAACUCGGUCUUCUCCAAUUCCGCGACUUAAAUGCUGAUAAAAGCCCUUUUCAAAGGACAUUUGUUAAUCAGGUAAAGCGAUGUGGAGAGAUGUCAAGGAAACUACGAUUUUUCAAAGAUCAAAUUAAUAAAGCUGGUCUAUUAUCUUCUGCACAUCCUGUCAUAGAACCAGAUGUUGAGCUGGAGGAAUUAGAGAUACAACUUGGUGAACAUGAACAUGAGCUAAUUGAGAUGAACUCAAACAGUGAGAAACUUCAGCAAUCAUACAAUGAGCUCUUGGAGUUCAAAAUGGUGUUGCAAAAGGCAGUCGGCUUUCUUGUAUCAAGUAAUAGUCAUGCAGUUGCAGAGGAAACAGAAUUAAAUGAAAAUGUGUACUCAAAUGAUGAUUAUGGUGAAACAACCUCAUUUCUUGAAAAGGAACUGAGGUCUGUACCAUCGAACCAAUCUGGUUUGAGAUUUAUCAGUGGUAUUAUACCUAGAUCCAAAGUUCUGAGAUUUGAGAGAAUGCUAUUUCGUGCUACAAGGGGCAAUAUGCUUUUCAAUCAGGCACCGGCUGAUGAAGAGAUCAUGGAUCCUGUGUCAACUGAAAUGGUUUUUUCACCUCCUAUAAACUUCCGUUAUCUGUUCCAUCUCUAUUGAUUAUGUUCUCUGGAGGCUGUGGAUGUCAUUUGACUUCUUCUUGUGCUCCCUUCACCCUGUCUUGGCUCCGAUGCUCUAUUUUGUUGCUUUUAGAAACAAGUUAAUGAAUCUUUUGCAAUGGUACUUAUCUUUCAGAGUUUUAACUUUGCAGGUUGAAAAAACUGUAUUUGUAGUCUUUUUCUCAGGUGAACAGGCAAGAACAAAAAUUUUAAAAAUUUGUGAAGCAUUUGGUGCAAAUUGCUAUCCUGUCCCUGAAGAUAUAACUAAACAGAGGCAAAUAACUAGAGAAGUUUUGUCACGUCUUUCUGAAUUGGAAGCCACAUUGGAUGCUGGAAUUCGCCACCGAAAUAAAGCCCUUGCUUCCAUUGGGUACCAACUAACAAAAUGGAUGAACAUGGUAAAGAGGGAAAAAGCUGUAUAUGAUACUUUGAAUAUGCUGAAUUUUGAUGUCACAAAAAAAUGUCUUGUUGGAGAGGGCUGGUGCCCUUCAUUUGCGAAAGCUCAGAUUCAGGAGACACUGCAACGUGCAACAUUUGAUAGCAAUUCACAAGUGGGCAUAAUUUUUCAUGUGAUGGAUGCUUUGGAAUCACCUCCUACAUAUUUCAGAACAAAUCGUUUCACAAAUGCAUUUCAGGAAAUUGUUGAUGCAUAUGGUGUUGCUAGAUAUGAAGAAGCAAAUCCUGCAGUUUACACAGUUGUUACCUUCCCAUUUCUUUUUGCGGUAAUGUUUGGGGAUUGGGGCCAUGGAAUAUGCUUACUUAUGGGAGCAUUAAUACUUAUAGCUCGGGAAAGCAAGCUCAGUUCUCAGAAACUUGGGAGCUUUAUGGAGAUGCUUUUCGGUGGGCGCUAUGUACUCCUCCUAAUGGCACUUUUUUCAAUUUAC